rnacentral:rRNA from 1 species
UACGUAGGCAGCGAGCGUUGUUCGGAGUUACUGGGCGUAAAGGGUGUGUAGGCGGUCCUCUAAGUUCGGUGUGUAAUCUCCCGGCUUAACUGGGAGGGUGCGCCGGAAACUGGAGUGCUCGAGCGUGGGAGAGGAAAGCGGAAUUCCUGGUGUAGCGGUGAAAUGCGUAGAUAUCAGGAGGAACACCUGCGGUGUAGACGGCUUUCUGGACCAUUGCUGACGCUGAGACACGAAAGCGUGGGUAGCAAACAGG